rnacentral:misc_RNA from 1 species
AACGCACCUUGCGCUCCUUGGUAUUCCGAGGAGCAUGCCUGUUUGAGUGUCUUGAAGUCAUCAACCCCUCUCGUUUCGUGCGUGAGCCGGUUGGAAGUGGGGGUGUGCUGCCGUGAGGCUGCUCCCCUCAAAUGCAUCGGUUGGACCUGUGGGUCGAACUCGACUGGGCGUUGUACCAUCCUCGCUCUACUGAGACGUUCCCCUUCCGUGUCCUCCCUAGACCUGCCUUUGGAGUGGCGGUCAAGCAAAACUUUUGAAAUCUGACCUCAAAUCAGGUAGGACUACCCGCUGAACUUAA